GCUAGUAAUCGCGAAUCAGAAUGUCGCGGUGAAUACGUUCCCGGGCCUUGUACACACCGCCCGUCACACCAUGAGAGUCGAUAACACCCGAAGCCUGUGAGCUAACCUUUUAGGAGGCAGCAGUCGAAGGUGGGGUUGAUGAUUGGGGUGAAGUCGUAACAAGGUAGC
rnacentral:rRNA from 1 species